rnacentral:rRNA from 1 species
UUAUGAAUAAGGAUCGGCUAACUCCGUGCCAGCAGCCGCGGUAAUACGGAGGAUCCGAGCGUUAUCCGGAUUUAUUGGGUUUAAAGGGUGCGUAGGCGGCCUUUUAAGUCAGCGGUGAAAGUCUGUGGCUCAACCAUAGAAUUGCCGUUGAAACUGGGGGGCUUGAGUAUGUUUGAGGCAGGCGGAAUGCGUGGUGUAGCGGUGAAAUGCUUAGAUAUCACGCAGAACCCCGAUUGCGAAGGCAGCCUGCCAAGCCAUGACUGACGCUGAUGCACGAAAGCGUGGGGAUCAAACAGGAUUAGAUACCCUGGUAGUCCACGCAGUAAACGAUGAUCACUAGCUGUUUGCGAUACAGUGUAAGCGGCACAGCGAAAGCGUUAAGUGAUCCACCUGGGGAGUACGCCGGCAACGGUGAAACUCAAAGGAAUUGACGGGGGCCCGCACAAGCGGAGGAACAUGUGGUUUAAUUCGAUGAUACGCGAGGAACCUUACCCGGGCUUAAAUUGCAGAUGAAUUACGGUGAAAGCCGUAAGCCGCAAGGCAUCUGUGAAGGUGCUGCAUGGUUGUCGUCAGCUCGUGCCGUGAGGUGUCGGCUUAAGUGCCAUAACGAGCGCAACCCUUGCCACUAGUUACUAACAGGUAAAGCUGAGGACUCUGGUGGGACUGCCAGCGUAAGCUGCGAGGAAGGCGGGGAUGACGUCAAAUCAGCACGGCCCUUACAUCCGGGGCGACACACGUGUUACAAUGGCGUGGACAAAGGGAGGCCACCUGGCGACAGGGAGCGAAUCCCCAAACCACGUCUCAGUUCGGAUCGGAGUCUGCAACCCGACUCCGUGAAGCUGGAUUCGCUAGUAAUCGCGCAUCAGCCAUGGCGCGGUGAAUACGUUCCCGGGCCUUGUACACACCGCCCGUCAAGCCAUGGGAG